rnacentral:rRNA from 1 species
AAUGAACGUUGGCGGCGUGGAUUAGGCAUGCAAGUCGGACGGGCUUGGUCUUCGGACCGAGUCAGUGGCGGAAGGGUGAGUAAGGCGACGGUAACCAACCCCACGGUCGGGUAUAGCCGCGGGAAACCGCGGGUAAUCCCCGGCGACGUGCGGCCCCGGCAUCGGGGCGGCACCAAAGCUAUGGCGCCGUGGGACGGGCCGUCGUGGUAUUAGGUCGUUGGCGGGGUGACGGCCCACCAAGCCUGUGAUGCCUACCGGGCGUGCGAGCGCGGCCCGGCACACUGGGACUGGGACACUGCCCAGACUCCUACGGGAGGCUGCAGUCGAGAAUCUUCGGCAAUGGGCGCAAGCCUGACCGAGCGACGCCGCGUGGGGGACGAAGGCGCUCGGGUUGUAAACCCCUGUCGAGGGGGAGGAAGGUCGCGCGAGCGGCUUGACCGAUCCCUGGAGGAAGCACGGGCUAAGUUCGUGCCAGCAGCCGCGGUAACAC